AGUUUGUGACCUUCGCUAGAUUGCUCCGGUCACUAGUGUGGAUAAGUAUGUAAAGGGAUAGAGACAGGGAAGCAAACACAAGAUGUACGUGGUUUACCCAGAUUGGCUAUGUCCACGGAGUAGAGGAGUUCUCAAUAAUUGUGAAGGGUUUACACAAGUACAUAGGUUCAAGCUCUCCUUUAGUGAGUACUAGUGAAUGAUGCAGUACAAAUGACAUUAGGAAAUAUUGUGAGAGAAUGAUCUCUAUUUAUAGAAGAGAGUUUCUAGUUUCAUUCUUACAUUGACACGUGUCGUAUUGUGAUUGGCUUAUGAUGUUGACACGUGUCGCGCUAUGAUUGGAUUUUGAUGUCGACACGUGUCGCGCUGUGAUAGGCCUCUGAUUGGAGGGAAACUCUUCUGGGUCGUUGAGGGUAUAACGUUGACCGGUGCACAGUAGUUUCAGGAUUGGUCAAGUAUGGUACAAACAUACUUAAUGGAAGUAUAACAUUAACUCUACGUUAUUGUUUAAUCUAUUGUUUUGAUGCGAUACAAAUUCUACGAAGGGUUUUUCAACGAUCCAAUCGUUAAACUUGUUUGUACACACUUCGAGAUCGCAUAAAUAAAAAAUCACAAAAAACAAACAUUAAGAGAUAAGGUAACAGAACAAAAGUUUUCGACGGUUAUAAAUGAAAAAUCACAAUUUAAUGGUUACUUUAGCUCCGAUUUUGAUGAUUUUUUACAGCUACACUCCUUGACCUUAUAAGAAUGCAUUGAAGGAAUUCGAUCUUCAAUUUAAAAUAUUUACACUAGUGGAUACCACAAAAUCUUAUUUUAUACUUGAUGGGGAAGUAUAACAUUAACUCUAAGUGUUUAUUUAAUCUACUGUUUUGACUCGAUAUGUGUUUGUACCAUACUUGACCAAUC
rnacentral:lncRNA from 1 species